GAUGAACGCUGGCGGCGUGCUUAACACAUGCAAGUCGAACGAAGAUGAUUAGAAUGAGAGCUUCGGCAGGAUUUCUUUUCAUCUUAGUGGCGGACGGGUGAGUAACGUGUGGGCAACCUGCCCUAUACUGGGGAAUAAUCACUGGAAACGGUGACUAAUACCGCAUGUCAUCACGGAAGGGCAUCCUUCUGUGAGAAAAGGAGACAAUUCGGUAUAGGAGUCGGGGCCCGCAUCUGAUUAGCUAGUUGGUGUGAUAACAGCCCACAAGGCGACGAUCAGUAGCCGACCUGA
rnacentral:rRNA from 1 species